UGGGGAAUCUUGCACAAUGGGGGCAACCCUGAUGCAGCGACGCCGCGUGAGCGAUGAAGCCCUUCGGGGCGUAAAGCUCUUUCGACCGGAACGAUAAUGACGGUACCGGGAGAAGAAGCUGCGGCUAACUACGUGCCAGCAGCCGCGGUAAUACGUAGGCAGCAAGCGUUGUUCGGAGUUACUGGGCGUAAAGAGUGCGUAGGCGGUUUCUCAAGUCCGAUGCUAAAGACCGAAGCUCAACUUCGGGAGUGCGUUGGAUACUGUGAGGCUAGACGGUCGGAGAGGGUAGCGGAAUUUCCUGAGUAGCGGUGAAAUGCGCAGAUACAGGAAGGAACGCCAAUAGCGAAAGCAGCUACCUGAACGAUUUGUGACGCUGAGGCGCGAAAGCGUGGGGAGCAAACC
rnacentral:rRNA from 1 species